UCUCGGUAGAUAAUUCCCCUUUUUUUCCCACUCCAAACUACGACGAUCUCAUAUUCAUAACGCGAAAAGACAGGAGUUAUAAAACACUGUCAUAAAGCAGCGACCAAUCUUAUUUGUCUUUUACGACCGCUCCUCGACUUCCAGUCCUCAGAUGAAUGAUCUUGACAAAGAUGACACUGGACUUAAAGGGAACCAAGGCCAAAGCUAAUAUUGGACAGGGGCGUCAACAGGUAAAACUCGUGAAUUUGAUCUCUGACGAUCCAACGGCAAAAGUACCUGUUGAUUCCUCUUCAACAGCACUAGUCAAUUUAUACACUUUCCCAGUGCUUAAUGUUUUGCUAGAUUACUUCUUGAGGUCUGCUGGGGUGGUGGACCUGUGUUUUGGUCGUUUCCGAUCAUGUUGACUACGCCGCUUUGGAUCUGUCGGACGGCUUUUCGCCAUCUUCAGUGCUUUUACCUAAUCCAAGUGAACUAUCCUGGACCAGUGAACCAGUGAACCAGCUGUGGAAAGAAAAUGAAACGAUUCUUCAAACAGGAUAAGUCUAUACAGGAUUUGGCGAACGUGAUUUGCUGGAAUGCCUAUUGUUCCUAGGCCCUUUUUUUUCCAAAAUGUCUAAAAUUAUAUUUUAAAUGAGUAGAAGCAAUCGAUUUUGGAAUGGUGAGGGCUCUACUAUCGGGUGGUGUCAUCCGAAGAUACUCGCAGGUCUGGUGGGAAGUGGAGUAUAACGCACCUUGAAAUAUGAAGAUUAAUAUAUCAUCUGGAUACUUUUUAGUUCCAGUCCUAAUCAUAAAAUGCUACUCUACUUUCACGAAGCAGGAACAACAUUUUUGAGGAGCCAGAGAAAAAGACAUCUGAAGAUAACAUGAUGACAUCAACAGAAAGAAGUCUACAUGCAGAAGGUCGAAAAAUUUGCUGGAAGGCUUGCUGGAAACUAUAAAAUAGUCAACUAAAAAAAUAGUUCAAAUCAUCAAAUGUUUUACAGAAGGAUAAACAAAUGAAUAUAAGAUAAGUGUGAAAG